GCUCCAUCUAGUGGAUGCAUUGUAGAUUGUGUCUUAUCAUGCGGUGUGUCCAAUAUCUGGAAAAAAAAUAAGCCAUUCAUUGAAGGUGCGUCUCAUAAUCCAGUGCGCCUAUUAGUGUGGAAAAUACGGUAUAUAUGCAUUUUUAAAAAAAAUCACUGCUCAGCUUGACCCUUCUUUUCAAAAAAAGGCUCAUUUGUGCCGCUCUUUGGCGAAACCAACUCAUGUUCUACCGCAACAAGUCUACACUUUCUUUUGGUGGGUCAAAACAAAAUAUUUUUGGGGUCUUGAAAGACUGUUCUGGCAAUUUGGGGGCUUAAGACAUUUGCGAUCUGAAGUCAAAUACGCCAUUUUUAAAGUGACUUUUUGUCAGUUAACACGAGUGGUGAAACCCGAAUUUGCCCCCGUGUUUAUCCACCGAGAGGAUUUCUGCAACCCACAUCAACGCGUUAACGUACCUGAUCGCCUUCUGACCGAGCGAUUAUGACUCACUCACACCCGUCGCACCACUACUCCUCCAUCUCUGAUAGUCAUCUUCUGAAUCAGCGAGGCGUCAUCGUGCGCACACAAAAGCGGUGGGCCCUUUUUCGCAAUCGCAGGUUGCCCGAAUGGCGUCACGCGUCCAGCAGAUGCUUUGAUCCGCUCCCAUGUCGCAAAAGGACAGAUGUUGGCAUUAGCAUUUGAGCGCAAAGCACUUUCAUUCAGUACAUUGUGUAGUGGAGGUGGUAAAUAGUCGGGUAUUAUCUGUCAAGGACCACUCCGGAGUCCGUGACUCCCCCCGAGAGAAACAAUACACAUUUCACAACCAGGUUACAUGUGCGCCAUCUUACACACGGAUGGAGUCUCUUUACAAAUCUUCCCUUUUUGAUAUGCCUUCAUGUCAUUGAUAGAUUUGGCCGCGGCGACUGCGAGAGAUUAUUUCUCGCAUGUUGCCAUUACUCACGUCGGGGGGGGAAAAAAAAUCCUCUUUCCCACCAUCUGUCUUUCGCCCUGAUUACUGUCACGGCUGCGCAGCAUUUUAUAGCGUGUGUUAGCGCAUUAGCAUCAUGUGUCUCUAGAUGCCUAAGCGGACAAAUUUGAGAAAUGUUUUUACCAAAGAUGCCUUGCUACUGGCUUUGCAAACCUUUCACGUUCUCGUCGUGCCUGCCUAGCUUUUCUCCAGCUUCCUCCCACAUCCCCCCCCCAAAAAUAAAACAAGAAUGCACGAAAGAUUUGUCGCUCUGCUUCCAGUCCAGUACGUUGGAUAUCAGCCGCAGCCAAACGAGGUCAUGUGUAAAUCAGCUGCAGUUUGUCACUUAGAUUACCAGAGGCUCACUUUAGCUCCCUGGGCCCGCCGCUGCCCAUGUUCCAAAAAUGUCAACAAGGAACAAAUUUCACCACUAUACUGUUCAUCAUCAAAUUAGUUGACCUUCCGAAAUCUCCUGCGUGGCUUCUUGUGGUCGUGCAAGCGUGCCGCGUUUGACACAACACGGAAUAAUAGUCAGAGAAUGAAAGCGGAGGGUUUGCGUCACACUGGCAGACGGUUGAGCUGCGACAUGACAACUUCUUGUUCGCUUCUUUAGCCUUGUGGCAACUGUUGACAUACGUGGCAGUUUGAGACUUGUUAUCGUCUCCUCUCCGAAACUACCGCCACGCAGGCCUCUUGUACCAUUUCAAAAUGAUGCUACAGCUCGGCAAAUCAUUCACCGGUUUAGGUUCUGAGGAGAUGGAAAAUAAACCCAGUAGGGUACUGAGGUCAGCAGACUCGGGUCAAGUAGUGGAGGCCAGGAAAUGCUAAAACUGGGAGGAUCAACUCACGACCUGAGACAGCAGCAGGAGAUGAGAACCAAGCAAUUAGGAGGAUGGAGGAGAUUAAAGUGGAGAGUUUCAGCAUUGCGGCUCAAUGCUUCCCUCCGAACUUGAAGAAAUUGGUGCCGCUGUUGGAGAACUGCAACGAUUAUGCAUGCACCCAGAAACCACACCAUUGAAAUAAUACACUUAUGCCAGAGAAUGCAAUUAGUGAUAGUCUGACAGCACUCUAUUACUCUGCUUGCUUGCGUGUGUGUGUGUGUGUGUGUGUGUGUGUGUGUGUGUCUGUGUCUGUGUGUGUGUGUCUGUGUGUGUGUGUGUGUGUGUGUGUGUGUGUGUGUGUGUGUGUGUGUGUGUGUGUGUGUGUGUCUGUGUGUGUGUGUGUGAGAAAGAGAUUGUUGUGUCGGCUAAUUAAAGUCUGAUAAUCAUGAAAGAUAAACUACAGUUAAUCGUGGCAAUCAAAAUGCAUGCCAAUUACUGUAUGUCUGACUAAUUAAUGGGUAUACGCAAGCCACUUUUAAUGACAGUUAAUGUGCCGAAAUGCACCUCAUCUUGGCAAGUUCACAAGAGGAAGAAACACAAUAAAGGUUUGCAAAAAAAAAAAAGAUAAA